rnacentral:sRNA from 1 species
AACCUAAACUCAAAGAUUUUCUUUGGGCAUGGUGAAGGAAAUCCGUUCAAGGCAGUAAGCUCGUCGUUAGAGCAUCCUUGAACGGUCAUAUCUCGAAAGAGGUAUGGGUGGCGUAAGCCAUC